AGGUGAUUAGUAUAAAAAAAAUACUUGAUUUCGGCUCAAGAGCUUGUGGUGAAAACCCACAAUCACCUG
rnacentral:tRNA from 1 species